CACGAAGUUAGCCGGGGCUUCUUCUACGGGUACCGUCAUCAUCGUCCCCGUCGAAAGUGCUUUACAAUCCGAAGACCUUCUUCACACACGCGGCAUUGCUGGAUCAGGGUUGCCCCCAUUGUCCAAUAUUCCCCACUGCUGCCUCCCGCAGGAGUCUGGGCCGUGUCUCAGUCCCAGUGUGGCUGAUCAUCCUCUCAAACCAGCUAUCGAUCAUCGCCUUGGUAGGCCUUUACCCCACCAACUAGCUAAUCGAACGCAGGCUCCUCCACAGGCGACUUGCGCCUUUGACCCUCAGGUAUCAUGCGGUAUUAGCACCAGUUUCCCAGUGUUAUCCCCCACCCAUGGAUAGAUUCCUACGCGUUACUCACCCGUCCGCCACUAAGGCCGAAACCUUCGUGCGACUUGCAUGUGUUAAGCAUGCCGCCAGCGUUCGCUCUGAGCCAGGAUCAAACUC
rnacentral:rRNA from 1 species